ensembl:lncRNA
GUGCGGGGAAGCGGGGCGGCGCUGAGCUUCGGGAGCGAGGAGGAGGAGCGGGAAGCUGGGAAUGGCAAACCAAGUAAUGAUGGAUUGGAGAGUGAUGAAAAGAUGAAGCUUCUGAAAAUGUGUGAGCAUCGAAGCGUAGGCCAGGUGCUACAUUUUGAACGUCGGGGUCUGCUGCUGACCUUAAGUUACUGGGAGCUCUGAAACCGUUCCAGUUGCAUUGGUGCCUUGACUCAUCACUGUUUAGGCACAGCCCCAGUGAGACUUGGAUGCAGUCACAAACAGCUGGUCACCACGAAGGCAUGCCGAGUGAUGAAGAACUGGCUCUGACAGAGGUGACUGAAUUCCAGAAGAGCAAAGGUUGGUCAGGAUAUGAG